rnacentral:lncRNA from 1 species
AUCUGGAAAUCUUGUAUAUAAUGCACAUGAAGGUGGUAAAGUAACAAUUGAUAAAAUUAUAUAAUUAUACAAGAGUUGGCAGCUAAUAUGCAGUUGCAUUUUUAUGUUGUUUCAGGAGACUGGAGUUAAUUUGGGACCAGCUUCAAAUCAUUUGAAAAGCUUGUAUUCACUAAAACUCAGAAGACCAAUGCUAGGACUGGAGGUGAUGAUGAAAAUGAACUAGCUCUAGCCACAGUCCUGCAGGGUUUCUGUGAUUCAGUUACACUUCGCCAAUCAUCUUGGUAUGAAUAAAUUACAAUUGUCGUUUUCCAUAUGUGGAUUUUCAUAUUAUUAUUCUUUUUGCAUAUUCAUGGUUCUUCUUCUUUCAUCAAUUCAGCUCAAGGAUAUGGAAGAAGUAUCAAUCUCUGAAUAACCAACUGAAAGAAAAAAGUCUUCCCUGAUUGGAAAAACUUGAUUAAGCCUGUAAAUGAAGAAAAAGAUCAGUGGGUUAGUUUAAUCUUCUUAAAUCUGAAUUUGAAUUUUUUUUAUUGUCUAGAUGGGUACCUCCUCCUUUGCCAAUAGCCAAGAGACCAAAAAAUGAGCCACAACUUGGUCUUAGUAAGGGAGAUAAAGAUCUUGCACGUGAAGCUUUAAAGAGGCGUAAAUCUUAUGAUGUAAGACUUCAUUUUUUUUUUAGAUCUAUAAAUCACUCAUAAUGAUUUUUGAUACUUUUAUAUAAAAAUAUAUGAUUGUAUUGUAUUGUUUUACAGGAGAAUGCAGCUUCUUUGAGGACUCAACUUGAUCAACAGAAAGGUGUUGUGGAUAAUCUUGUGAAUAACACUCGGGUAUAUUUUUCACCUCUUUUUAAAUAUUGUUUCCAACAUCUGAAAUUUUUGCUUAUUUCCAAAUGUGUAAUAAUACAUUUCUCUUAACAGAUUCUAGAAAGCAAGAUACAAGAGGCUAAGUCAAAGAAAGAUACUCUCAAAGCACUUGCACAAUCUGCAA